rnacentral:rRNA from 1 species
GAUGAACGCUGGCGGCGUGCCUAACACAUGCAAGUCGAACGGGAUGCGUAUCGGAAAGCUUCGGCCGGAAGAUACGUUAUCUAGUGGCGGACGGGUGAGUAACACGUGGGUAACCUGCCUUAUGGAGGGGGAUAACAGAGAGAAAUCACUGCUAAUACCGCAUAAGCACACAGUACCGCAUGGUACAGGGUGAAAAGAUUUAUCACCAUAAGAUGGACCCGCGUCUGAUUAGCCAGUUGGCAGGGUAAAAGCCUACCAAAGCAACGAUCAGUAGCCGAUCUGAGAGGAUGACCGGCCACAUUGGGACUGAGACACGGCCCAAACUCCUACGGGAGGCAGCAGUGGGGAAUAUUGCACAAUGGGGGAAACCCUGAUGCAGCGACGCCGCGUGAGUGAAGAAGUAUUUCGGUAUGUAAAGCUCUAUCAGCAGGGAAGAUAAUGACAGUACCUGACUAAGAAGCCCCGGCUAACUACGUGCCAGCAGCCGCGGUAAUACGUAGGGGGCAAGCGUUAUCCGGAUUUACUGGGUGUAAAGGGAGCGUAGACGGAGUGGCAAGUCUGAAGUGAAAACCCUGGGCUUAACCUGGGGACUGCUUUGGAAACUGUUAAUCUAGAGUGUUGGAGAGGUAAGUGGAAUUCCUGGUGUAGCGGUGAAAUGCGUAGAUAUCAGGAAGAACACCGGAGGCGAAGGCGGCUUACUGGACAAUAACUGACGUUGAGGCUCGAAAGCGUGGGGAUCAAACAGG